CCUACGGGUGGCUGCAGUGGGGAAUAUUGGACAAUGGGCGAAAGCCUGAUCCAGCCAUGCCGCGUGUGUGAAGAAGGCCUUCGGGUUGUAAAGCACUUUCAGUGGGGAAGAAAGCCUUGGGGCUAAUACCCUCGAGGAAGGACAUCACCCACAGAAGAAGCACCGGCUAACUCCGUGCCAGCAGCCGCGGUAAUACGGAGGGUGCGAGCGUUAAUCGGAAUUACUGGGCGUAAAGCGCGCGUAGGCGGUCUGAUAAGCCGGUUGUGAAAGCCCCGGGCGCAACCUGGGAACGGCAUCCGGAACUGUCAGGCUAGAGUGCAGGAGAGGAAGGUAGAAUUCCCGGUGUAGCGGUGAAAUGCGUAGAGAUCGGGAGGAAUACCAGUGGCGAAGGCGGCCUUCUGGACUGACACUGACGCUGAGGUGCGAAAGCGUGGGUAGCAAACAGGAUUAGAUACCCCUGUAGUC
rnacentral:rRNA from 1 species